rnacentral:rRNA from 1 species
GUAAACGGCGGCCGUAACUAUAACGGUCCUAAGGUAGCGAAAUUCCUUGUCGGGUAAGUUCCGACCUGCACGAAUGGCGUAAUGAUGGCCAGGCUGUCUCCACCCGAGACUCAGUGAAAUUGAACUCGCUGUGAAGAUGCAGUGUACCCGCGGCAAGACGGAAAGACCCCGUGAACCUUUACUAUAGCUUGACACUGAACAUUGAGCCUUGAUGUGUAGGAUAGGUGGGAGGCUUUGAAGUGUGGACGCCAGUCUGCAUGGAGCCGACCUUGAAAUACCACCCUUUAAUGUUUGAUGUUCUAACGUUGGCCCGUAAUCCGGGUUGCGGACAGUGUCUGGUGGGUAGUUUGACUGGGGCGGUCUCCUCCUAAAGAGUAACGGAGGAGCACGAAGGUUGGCUAAUCCUGGUCGGACAUCAGGAGGUUAGUGCAAUGGCAUAAGCCAGCUUGACUGCGAGCGUGACGGCGCGAGCAGGUGCGAAAGCAGGUCAUAGUGAUCCGGUGGUUCUGAAUGGAAGGGCCAUCGCUCAACGGAUAAAAGGUACUCCGGGGAUAACAGGCUGAUACCGCCCAAGAGUUCAUAUCGACGGCGGUGUUUGGCACCUCGAUGUCGGCUCAUCACAUCCUGGGGCUGAAGUAGGUCCCAAGGGUAUGGCUGUUCGCCAUUUAAAGUGGUACGCGAGCUGGGUUUAGAACGUCGUGAGACAGUUCGGUCCCUAUCUGCCGUGGGCGCUGGAGAACUGAGGGGGGCUGCUCCUAGUACGAGAGGACCGGAGUGGACGCAUCACUGGUGUUCGGGUUGUCAUGCCAAUGGCACUGCCCGGUAGCUAAAUGCGGAAGAGAUAAGUGCUGAAAGCAUCUAAGCACGAAACUUGCCCCGAGAUGAGUUCUCCCUGACUCCUUGAGGGUCCUGAAGGAACGUUGAAGACGACGACGUUGAUAGGCCGGGUGUGUAAGCGCAGCGAUGCGUUGAGCUAACCGGUACUAAUGAACCGUGAGGCUUAACCUU